GCGGCACGACCGGUCUCUGGAAGUCUCUGGAAUCUUCUCCUAUAAUAAAUUGCUCCUCUCCUCCACCUCGCUUCCGUUGGCCGCGCCACCGUCUUGGUUGGUGGUCGAUCUCAGCCGCCGAGGAAUUCGACACGCCCACCGACGAGGACAGGAUGGACGUCCCAAAUGGCGACCCCGCCCUCCAGAUCGGCGAUUGGGUCAGAUGUAUAUCUGGUUUCCUUUCUUUUUCUCUUUCGGUUCUUUUUGUCUUUGGGCGUAUCUGCGGUUGGUCUGGUGGCUUUUAGUGGUUUCUGGGUGGAAAGGGUCCGAUCUCUGAGGUGCUGGCGUGCAGUGUAUCUCGCUGGGACGCUGCUCGACGGGACUAAGUUCGACUCCGCCCGUGAUCGGGAUACCCCGUUCAGGUUCAAUCUCGGCCUAGGUGAGGGGGCUUUUGUUUCCAAAUUCUUGCUGUCUUGAUCGAUGAAACUGCUUCUCCUCCCUCUGCGAGUUUGAACAAAGGUCUGCUGUCAGAUGACACAGAACAAGAUCCUAAAAUUGGCAUGCAGAUAACAGGAGCAUUGCGGCUUCAGCUAGAUGUCCAAAGGCGCCUUCAUGGGCAGCUAGAGGUGCAUGCUUCCAUAAUGUUGCAGGCAACUCCGAACAAAGGGAUGCUGUCGAUGUCACAGAACAUGAUCUUACAAUUCCACUAAUUAGAGGCGACCAUACUGCUGCAGUGGCAUGCAGAUAACAGAAGCAUUACGGCUUCAGCUAGAUGACCAAAGGUGCCUUCAGGAGCAGCCAGAGAUGCACUUCAUGAGACUCCUCUUACAGUAAUUUGAUUGAAGUCCUCCUGCUGAAUCAAAAAUAUCAGAAAUGUUUCUCUUUUAUUUUUCUCUUACUAAGACCCAAAGAAAUUUACAGCAGAGGAUAAAGUAGAAUGCUCCAGCAGAUGUUUGAAGAGAAAGUGAAAACAAACAAAAGUGCUGUUGAGCCUGAAAACCUGGCUAUUUUGUUUUCAAAUAGUCCAGAGAGUCUUAAAGAUGCUCAGUUCUUGUGUGCCCCAGAUGGGUCACAGAACACAUUUCCAAUUGAAGAUUGGUUAGCUUUAA